AGCCGCCGGGUAGGGGCUCCGUGGCGGUCUGGGGCGGGGGAGCGGAGCGAUGACGAGCCGGGCCAGACCCUGGUCCCGCGGACCCCCGGGCCAUUUUCCUCCGGAAACCGGGCCUCGGCCGAGCGGGUCGGGUCGGGGUCGGCGGGAGCUGGGCGCGGCGUCCGAGAGGCCCUGAGUUUAAGCAAAGGAAGUGCGCUUGUUUGCGAACUGAUGCCACUGAUCGGUGUCGUUAGGUUUGAGCCCUGACUUGGUCUGAGUGUCAUCAU